CGAACGCUGGCGGCGCGUUUAAGCAUGCAAGUCGAGCGGCAAGGGCCUUCGGGCCCUAGAGCGGCGGACGGGUGAGUAACACGUGGACAAUCUGCCCCCCGGCCCGGGAUAGACCCAGGGAAACCUGGAUUAAUACCGGGAUGACGACGGGACCCGCGAUGGCGGGAUCCGGGAAAGGCGCUGCGGCGCCGCCGGGGGAUGAGUCUGCGUCCCAUUAGCUAGACGGCGGGUAACGGCCCACCGUGGCGACGAUGGGUAGCCGGCCUGAGAGGGUGGACGGCCACAUUGGAACUGAGACACGGUCCAGACUCCUACGGGAGGCAGCAGCUAAGAAUCUUCCGCAAUGGGCGAAAGCCUGACGGAGCGACGCCGCGUGAAACCGAAGAAGGCCGUGAGGUUGUAAAGUUCUUUUCGGGAGGGGGAACAACCGUGGCAGGGAAUGACAGCGUGGUGACAGUAGGUUUUGAAUAAGCAACGGCUAAUUACGUGCCAGCAGCUGC
rnacentral:rRNA from 1 species